rnacentral:rRNA from 1 species
UACGAAGGGGGCUAGCGUUGUUCGGAAUUACUGGGCGUAAAGCGCACGUAGGCGGACUAUUAAGUCAGGGGUGAAAUCCCGGGGCUCAACCCCGGAACUGCCUUUGAUACUGGUAGUCUCGAGUCCGGAAGAGGUGAGUGGAAUUCCGAGUGUAGAGGUGAAAUUCGUAGAUAUUCGGAGGAACACCAGUGGCGAAGGCGGCUCACUGGCCCGAUACUGACGCCGAGGCACGAAAGCGUGGGGAGCAAACAGG